UCGAACGAGAAAGCCCUUCGGGGUGAGUAAAGUGGCGAACGGGUGAGUAACACGUGGGCAACCUGCCCCUCGCAGGGGGACAACCGGAGGAAACUCCGGCUAAUACCCCGUACGCUUGUCGAGUCGCAUGGCUCGACAAGGAAAGGUAGCUUCGGCCAUCCGGCGAGGGAUGGGCCCGCGGUGCAUUGGCUAGUUGGUGGGGUAACGGCCCACCAAGGCAACGAUGCGUAGCUGGUCUGAGAGGAUGAUCAGCCACACUGGGACUGAGACACGGCCCAGACUCCUACGGGAGGCAGCAGCCAGGAAUCUUGGGCAAUGGGCGAAAGCCUGACCCAGCAACACCGUGUGAGCGAUGAAGGCCUUCGGGUCGUAAAGCUCUGUUGAUAGGGACGAAGGGCGAAGGGUUAAUAGCCCCUAGCCUGACGGUACCUUUCGAGGAAGCCCCGGCUAACUACGUGCCAGCAGCCGCGGUAAUACGUAGGGGGCGAGCGUUG
rnacentral:rRNA from 1 species